rnacentral:rRNA from 1 species
CCUACGGGUGGCUGCAGUGGGGAAUAUUGGACAAUGGGGGCAACCCUGAUCCAGCCAUGCCGCGUGUGUGAAGAAGGCCCUCGGGUUGUAAAGCACUUUCAGUGAGGAAGAACGCCUGGUGGUUAAUACCCAUCAGGAAAGACAUCACUCACAGAAGAAGCACCGGCUAACUCCGGCCAGCAGCCGCGGUAAUACGGAGGGUGCGAGCGUUAAUCGGAAUUACUGGGCGUAAAGCGCGCGUAGGUGGCUUGAUAAGCCGGUUGUGAAAGCCCCGGGCUCAACCUGGGAACGGCAUCCGGAACUGUCAAGCUAGAGUGCAGGAGAGGAAGGUAGAAUUCCCGGUGUAGCGGUGAAAUGCGUAGAGAUCGGGAGGAAUACCAGUGGCGAAGGCGGCCUUCUGGACUGACACUGACACUGAGGUGCGAAAGCGUGGGUAGCACACAGGAUUAGAUACCCCGGUAGUC